rnacentral:lncRNA from 1 species
CUCUCUUGCUUUCUCUGUCUCUCUCUUGCGCGCGCUUCCUCUCUCUCUCUCUCUCUUUCUCUUUCUCUCUCUUCUCCUCGGUUGCACUGCUGCAACAAAGAUCUCUUGGUUGCUCUGAGUGUUGUGGUCACUUUCCUUUCAUUGGUGCUGAAACCCGCGAGAGGGUUAAAACCCACUUUUGGGUCCCUCUUCCUUCGGAAAUGCCACUCACCGGACGACCUGAACCCAUUUUCUCGAUCGCCAGAACUCCAUCCACCACCAGCCUUAGUGAGUUUCCCCUUCCUGGAGAGGAUUUGACCGUUGAUUGUCCGGCAAACCUCUUUGCCCACCUGCGGGGAGGAAAACACCCCACCACAGCCUUCAAGGCUAUGGUGGCCCUCAGGGACUCCUUCCUAGGGCAGAAUAGACUCCUGGAUUCAAAAUUAUUCCCCUUCCCCUUCCCAGCUGGUAGUUUACCAGCAUAGGCUUUGUAGGUCUCCCUCAAAGGACUGUGUAACCUCCAGGGACACGUAACAGAGAACCGAACAUCACAUCCCACCCAGACCUUCAUGGUCUCUGUGGCUCUCCUAAAGUCCUAGUCCUCACCUUCAAGACUCGGCUGCUAGAGAGAACCUUACCCUCCCCUUCCUCUCUCUUCCCCUUUCUCUCUCUUUCCCCUCUUUCCGGCCCAGGGAGUCUCCGGCCUCUCCAGGAGGGGUCCCGAAAAGCCUUGGCCAAGGUCUCCCACAGCUCCGGCUCUGUCCAGGAUGAGAGCUUCGACUGUCAGGAUUCGGUGACGACCAAUCUCUGCAGCUCGAACCUGCCACUAAGGCACUCCUGAUUUUUGGCUCUAGCGGGGACGCCCCUUUUGCCAAUAAAACAGUUUCCUCCUUCUCUCUUAUACUAUCUUUGUGUCUCCUUCCCCCUCCCCUAUACUAUGUUUGCAUCCCCUUCCCUCCUCCUUAUACUACGUUUGUGACAUGGGUAAUGUGUCCUCUCUGCCGGUCGACUCUCCCCUACAAUACCUCUUGGAUAAUCUCAAAACCCUCUCCUUGACAUCUGACAUCAAACCCAAAAAAUUGAUCAAAUAUAGCACCCGAGCCCACUUAUCCUUUAGACAACUAAAGAAGACGUGUUAUCAAUAAGAUUAAUAUAAAGUUCAAUAAAGUGGGUACAAUUUAAAUGUAAUAUAUUAUGUUAGCUAGUAUUCAUGUGACCUCAAACAACAAUAUAUGUAAACUUUAUAAAAUAAUAUUUUUUAAAAAGGAUCAGCUUCAAUACUAGAACACUUUGCCUUAGAUUUAUAAAGAGCCCUGGCUUACCUGAGAUAAGGCUGUGCCUCCCAUCUUACUACAUGUCAGAAUGACUCCAAAGUAGGCCAGACUUCAGCUAAAGCCCAAUACUCUUAAUUUAAGGUGAAACUGACUUUGCUGGAUGUUUAAGAUCAAGACUUAAACUUAAAUUAAAAAGGCCAAGAAAACCAAUAUUUGGCUCUGGCCCUCUGAGUCAGUCUGAAUCCAGGGAACAGGGAAUUUCUCUAAAGAGCUUUGCAACUCUGGGCCACAUAACCUCCUGAUCAGGGAGAUUAAUGAGACCACUAGAGAAUGAAAAGCCAAUCCGUGCAUUUGCUAUGAAGAGGAGGGUCACCGGAGAAGGGAGACAUCCCUGAUGCUUCCAAGGGAAGCCACAUGGUCAAGCAAGACCUGGACCCAUCCUAGCGCAGAUGGCACUAGCAGAACUAAGAGAAGCUGCUCUCAAGUUCCCCCACGAGUGACCCCUAUGGGAACUUGGCUGACUCUUAACAAUAGAUAGAAACAAAGUCAAUUUUGACCAACUUGAUCUUAAACACCUACCAAAACCAGUUAAGCCAAAACCAGUCAUUCCUGGGAGUAAUGAAGGACAAGAACAGCUAGAAAAGAGGAGACAGCAACUAGGCCAACAGGCUCCAUGGGGAAUGUUCAGUCAAGUAUGGCCUUGGCUUCUCCCCCUCAUAGGACCCUUAUUAGUCCUCUUUAUGUUUCUCCUAAUAGGACCAUGUAUGUUAAAUUGCCUACAGAAGUUCCUGCAAGAUCAGAUACACAAAUUCACCAACCAGUCAGUCAAUCAAUUACUUCUUUAACACUACCAGCCCCUGAUGCCCAAGACAGAGACCUAUGACUCAUGAUCAACUCCUCUGGCUCCAGAGACUCUGCCCCCACCUAAAACCCUCCCUAACCCCUUUUCCAGAUUUUACAAUCCCUCUUUCACUUCCUAGGAAUGAGAACUACUCUCCUGCAGGUCCACUCUGAUUGUUCUGUCUGCUCUACAAUAUCCCCACAAGGAAGCAUCAAACCUAAACUCCCCAGGCAUCAGAUGAGGAGCCACUAGCCAGGCAAAGGCUGGUAGAUCAACUUCACUCAUAUGCCUAGGCACAAAAAGUUUCACUACCUACUUACUUUGGUUGAUACUUUUUCAGGUUGGAUAGAUGACUUCCCUACAUCCAGGGAAAUUGCUGACACCAUUGCCUCCAUCCUCAUUGAGGGGAUCAUUCCCAGGUUCGAACUUCCCACCUCCAUCCAGUGAGACAGUGGUCCAGCUCUCACUUCUCAGGUUGUUCAACUAGUCUCCAAAGGCCUCAACAUCACCUGGAGUCUCCACAUCUCCCACUAACCCCAAUCCUUGGGUAAGGUUGAGAGGCCUAACGGCAUUCUCAAAGAUCAUUUCACUAAACUUGCUAUUGAACUUAGGCUCUCCUGACCCAAUCUCCUGCCGUUGGCCCUCACCUGAUUUUAGGUAGCCCCAAGAGCUCCCUCAGGCCUUAGCCCCUUUGAUUAAUUCUAUGAGUACCCUUUCUUAACCACCCAAAGCUUUCCAAUCACUCCUCUUCCCCUUGUGUCCUACCUGUCCUAUCUCACACUUCUAUGCAAACUCCUAAGGGAACACACAGACGGGUGCCUUCCUGCACCUUGCCUCAAUCCCAGCACAACCACAAACUGAAUUGGACCCUCUUCAACUCGGUGACUCAGUCUUAAUUCAGGAACUACAUUCUCAAUCGUUGGAACCCUGAUGGACGGGACCCCAUACAGUCAUACUUACUACCCCAAUGGUAACCAAGCAUUUAGACACUCUCUCUGGUACUUAAAAAGGCACCUGUUCCAAAUGUCCAGUCCUGGACUUCCACCACGCCCACCAAACUCAAAAUUUCUCACCAACCCUCUUCUUCUUUUACUAAUCAUUAUUCUCUCUCAAGUUUUUAUCUCAAACCACAGAUGCCACUUCUACAACCAAACCACCAGGAUGACACCACCCACUCUCAGUUUAUGGGUCAAGGCGAUUGCUCUUCCACUGGCUGAAAUCGGGCUGUCACCCUUAACAUUACUGGAUUCAACC